GCGCCCCUCCCCCAGCCUCGCUGCCGCCUUGCAGUUUGAUCUCAGACUGCUGUGCUAGCAGUCAGCGAGACUCUGUGGGCUAGGACCCUCCGAGCCAGGUGCGGGAUAUAAUCUCGUGGUGCGCCGUUUUUUAAGCCCGUCAGAAAAGCACAGUAUUCGGGUGGGAGUGACCCGAUUUUCCUGGUGCCCUCCGUCACCCCUUUCUUUGACUAGGAAAGGGAACUCCCUGACCCCUUGCACUUCCUGAGUGAGGCAAUGCCUCACCUUGCUUCGGCUCGCCCACGGUGCGCACACCCACUGACCUGCGCCCACUGUCUGGCACUCCCUGGUGAGAUGAACCUGGUACCUCAGAUGGAAAUGCAGAAAUCACCCGUCUUCUGCGUCACUCACGCUGGGAGCUGUAGACCGGAGCUGUUCCUAUUCGGCCAUCUUGGCUCCUCCCCGUCUUUCUACUAUUUUUUGACUUAAAGAUUGUUUUAUUGCAGUGGCCAAUUCUUGGAUGAGAACCAGGUAUCGCCUGGCUGAGAGGACGGCAGUCAUUACUGGGAACCGAGGACUUUCUCAGAAGCCUGAGGAGGAUCAGGUGCAGCAUUCGUCCGAGUCCUGAAAUAACUGGCUUCCUGACUACAAGGUGUGGACAUAUGGCAGCCAGGAAAGAGAUUGAUGGAAAUGGUCUCCGAUGUCUGGGCAGAGCUUUUCUAGUCUUCUCUGAGAAGAACAACAUUCUUGGUAGACCACAGGCCUGGCUGUAAAACCCUGUGCAUGGAAAGGAUGAAGAACCAGAUGAGAGGAUGUGUCAAUAACACCCUGUAUUCAUUUUCUGUUGCUGCUGUAACAAAUUACCACAAACUUUGUGGCUUAAAACUACACAAAUUUAUUCUCUUACAGUUCUAGAAGUCAGAAGUCCUCUGUCUGCUUCACUGGGCUAAAGUCAAGGGGUGAUCAAGACUGGUGGUUCCUUCUAGAGGCCUGAGGGCAUAAUCCAUUACUUUGACUCUUCCAAUUGCUGGUGGCAGCCUGUAUUCCUUAGCUUGUGGUCUCCUUCUUCAUCUUCAAAGAGCACCACUCCAAUCUCUACUUCCAUGGUUACAUCUUCUUUGACUCUGACCCUUCUGGGUCCCUCUUAAAAGGACCUGGUGAUGACAUUGGGUCCAUCUGGAUAAUCCAAGAUAACCUCCCCAUCUCGAGGUCUUUACUUUAAUCAUAUAUAUAAAGACCCAUUUGACAUAUAAGGCAACAUUCAUAGGUUCCAGGGAUUAGGACUUAGACAUUUUUGUAUUUGGGAAGACUACCACAAAACACACUCUGAAUUUUUUUAAUAGAAUAUAAGGAUUUAAUUGAAUUUUACAGAAUUAUUUCUAAAAACAACAUACCCUUUAAUCACUAGCAGAAGAGCAAGAGAAAGAGCUGACUAUAGAUUAAGAGCAAAAUGGCAUCUUCAAAACAUACAGAAUGAUUUGAGAUCAAUUAACUGCAUUUCAGUUUCUUUUCUUUUCGUUUCUUUUCUUCUUUUUUUUUUUUUUUUUGAGACAGAGUUUCACUGUUGUUGCCCAGGCUAGAAUGCAGUGGCACAAUCUUGGCUCACCGCAACCUCUGCACCCCAGUUCAAGCGAUUCUCCUGCUUCAUCCUAACUGAGUAGCUGGGAUUACAGGCAUGUGCCACCACACCUGGCUAAUUUUGUAUUUUUAGUAGAGACAGGGUUUCUCCAUGUUGGUCAGGCUGGUCUCAAACUCCUGACCUCAGGAGAUCUGCCCACUUUGGCCUCCCAAAAUGCUGGGAUUACCGGCGUGAGCCACUGUGCCCAGCCUGCAUUUCAGUUUCUUAAUGACCAAUUUAUUUAACUUUAAAUUUUUACUAAAUAAUAUUCAACUUGUUUCAUUUAAUGAUUCAAAUGUCAUUUUCCUAUUUUUCAAUCCUUAGUAUCAUUUUGCAAAUUUCUUAAAUGGUUUAUCAGUCUUAAUUUUAAGCUUCUAGCAAUUAAAACUUUAAAUUAAAUUGUAUUAAGUCAAAUUAGAUUAAAAUAGUAAAGGCUUAAGAUAAAAGGAUGAAAUUUCAACUGCGUAUUUUCAGGUAAGCAACAGCAAAUGAGAUGUUUUUAAAUUAAAGUUUAAAAUUUGAACUCAAAACCACCUGAAAAAAUUAGUUAUAUCUCCAAACUAUUCUGUAAGAAAUUAUGGACAUUUAAAAUUUCUCACAAGAACAAAUUUGAGAUAAAACAAGCCAAGGAAGCAAAAAGGAAGUAAGGGUGCCCAGAAGAUUGUAUUAUAAUUAUUUUCAUGACCAAUGCCUCAAGUUUGAUAUUCACCAAGUGUAAAUCCAAAACUGUCAUAAAAGGGUUUUGUUUUAAUGGCUUAAAAAAUCCUAAAAAUACUGAAAAGACUGGUAAACUGAUAAACUGGAAGCUACAGGAUCAACAACAUCACAAGUAAAUAUGAAUUAAGUUGUUAGAAAAGUUAGAUUGAUAAAGGAAAUUCCUAGAAUAUAGUGCCCCAAUUUGAGAAAUUGGCAGAAUAAUAAGAGGUAUGCUAAAAUGUUGGCAAAACCAAAAAGACAUGAAAGAAAUCAGUAUAAACUGAAAAUUUCUUGUAGGAAACAAACACUGAUUUUUUGGUUAUGGGAUGAUUUUUGAAUUUUGAAUACGUUUUGAAAACACUUAAAGACUUCUUUAAAUGCUGCUACAAAGACAAAAUAAAACCUCGUCAAUGAAAACUGUAGAAAUUCUCCAAAACUACUAAAACUGUUCCAUUGGAGACAAGUCACUAUAUGUUUAUAAAUAAGAUAAGCAAAGUUUUUUUUUAAAUAACAUGUUAAAUUUGAUGAAUUGAUGACAAAUUGUUUUUUGGUAAACUGGUCUUUCAGUUGCUUGUGCUUGGGUAAGCUGCCCUGCUUCUCCUGGUGAGUGGGGUUUAUAGUGAAGACGCCAGGCUACCCAGUGGCACUGAAAGAGGUGGCAAAACCAAUUGUUUCUCUCUUCUCACUGCCUGGGCCCUGUUGCUGGUGAAUUCAAGUUGCCUGGAGACUGUCUCACUGGGGAUCUGGUGUUUUCCUACAAUAAAACUUCUCACUCCAGGGUCCUCUCCCAUCCGAGGCAUGCGUCUAGCAUAUCUCUAACAGUCUGUGCAUUUGUGAUUUAUGUGAUUUCAACCAAACCUUAAGGCUCUUGGGCAGCGGCUAUGCCUUAUCUUUCUCUUUCCAGACCCAAACCUGGUGCCUGGCACAUUAUACGAGAGGGAAGCACAGGCUCCUAUUGCAGCUCACAGAAGGAGCACCUAACUCACAUGAAGUCAAGGAAAGCUUCCUGGAAGAAGUGAUACUUCAAGCAAGUCUUAAGGUUUCCUCGUUGGUAGAAUGGGACUGGCCCUGGUGCCCCUGCUACAUGGAGUCUGUGGGAUUCAAUGAGAAGAUUCCUGGCCUGGCGUGGCUCAUGCCUAUAAUCCCAGCACUUUGGGAGGCCA
rnacentral:tRNA from 10 species